rnacentral:rRNA from 1 species
GCCUACGGGGCGCAGCAGUGAGGAAUAUUGGUCAAUGGGCGGGAGCCUGAACCAGCCAAGUCGCGUGAGGGAAGACGGUCCUAUGGAUUGUAAACCUCUUUAGGCGGGGAGCAAUGCCGGGCACGUGUGCCCGGAGGGAGAGUACCCGCAGAAUAAGCAUCGGCUAACUCCGUGCCAGCAGCCGCGGUAAUACGGAGGAUGCGAGCGUUAUCCGGAUUUAUUGGGUUUAAAGGGUGCGUAGGCGGAUUUUUAAGUCAGCGGUAAAAUGUCGGUGCUCAACACCGGCCUGCCGUUGAAACUGGUCU